GACGAACGCUGGCGGCGUGCUUAACACAUGCAAGUCGAACGGAAAGGCCCUGCUUUUGUGGGGUGCUCGAGUGGCGAACGGGUGAGUAACACGUGAGUAACCUGCCCUUGACUUUGGGAUAACUUCAGGAAACUGGGGCUAAUACCGGAUAGGAGCUCCUGCUGCAUGGUGGGGGUUGGAAAGUUUCGGCGGUUGGGGAUGGACUCGCGGCUUAUCAGCUUGUUGGUGGGGUAGUGGCUUACCAAGGCUUUGACGGGUAGCCGGCCUGAGAGGGUGACCGGGCAAAUUGGGAAUGAGAUACGGCCCAGACUCCUACGGGGGGCAACAGGGGGGAAUAUUGCACAAUGGGCGGAAGCCUGAUGCAGCAACGCCGCGUGCGGGAUGACGGCCUUCGGGUUGUAAACCGCUUUCGCCUGUGACGAAGCGUGAGUGACGGUAAUGGGUAAAGAAGCACCGGCUAACUACGUG
rnacentral:rRNA from 1 species